rnacentral:rRNA from 1 species
GCGCGGUUCGCCGCCGGCGACGUCGCGAGAAUUCCACUGAACCUUAUCAUUUAGAGGAAGGAGAAGUCGUAACAAGGUUUCCGUAGGUGAACCUGCGGAAGGAUCAUUGUCGAACCCUGCAUGGCAGAACGACCAGUUAACACGUAAAUACAACUGGGUGAUGGGGAGAUGGGCCUUGGCUCUUUUCCUUAUCCCCUCUCGGUGUGUGUUUGUGAUGCCUCUUUUGGGGCGCCACUGACGUCAUGCUGAACCUUAACAAACCCCGGCACGGCAUGUGCCAAGGAAAACAAAAUCGAGAAGGACGCGUCUUGUGUUGCCCCGUUCGCGGUGUGCAUGCGGGCCGUGGCCUUUUAUAAUUACAAACGACUCUCGGCAACGGAUAUCUCGGCUCACGCAUCGAUGAAGAACGUAGCAAAAUGCGAUACUUGGUGUGAAUUGCAGAAUCCCGUGAACCAUCGAGUUUUUGAACGCAAGUUGCGCCCGAAGCCAUCCGGCCGAGGGCACGCCUGCCUGGGCGUCACGCAUCGCGUCGCCCCCACCAAAUUUCCAAAUCUGGUUGGGGGCGGAGAUUGGCCUCCCGUACCUGUUGUGGUUGGCCUAAAAAGGAGUCCCCUUCGGUGGACACACGACUAGUGGUGGUUGAACAGACCCUCGUCUUUAUUGUGUGUCAUGAGCUGCUAGGGAGCCCUCAUCAAAGACCCUUUGUAUCGUUUUCGGACGGUGCUUCGACCGCGACCCCAGGUCAGACGGGACUACCCGCUGAGUUUAAGCAUAUCAAUAAGCGGA